rnacentral:rRNA from 1 species
UGCUUCCUACGGGGGGCAGCAGUAGGGAAUCUUCCACAAUGGGCGAAAGCCUGAUGGAGCAACGCCGCGUGGGUGAAGAAGGGUUUCGGAUCGUAAAACCCUGUUGUUAGGGAAGAAAGUGCGUGAGAGUAACUGUUCACGUUUCGACGGUAUCUAACCAGAAAGCCACGGCUAACUACGUGCCAGCAGCCGCGGUAAUACGUAGGUGGCAAGCGUUAUCCGGAUUUAUUGGGCGUAAAGGGAACGCAGGCGGUCUUUUAAGUCUGAUUUGAAAGCCUUCGGCUUAACCGGA